ensembl:misc_RNA
GUGAUUGAACCGGAGUUUUCCGUCUAUCCACAGAACGAGUUCUGUGCCUCCGGCUGCAGUGCAGGCCUGCCCACAGUACCCUGCCAGCGUGUUUACACCCUGACCUGGAAGGACCAGCUAAGGGUGAGAAAGCAAUUCGCUCUCCGUGUCCAUCUCAUGCCUGUUUGGUU